rnacentral:rRNA from 1 species
AUCGAACGCUGGCGGCAGGCCUAACACAUGCAAGUCGAACGAGUGGCGGACGGGUGAGUCAUGUCUGGGAAACUGCCCGAUGGAGGGGGAUAAAUACUGGAAACGGUAGCUACUACCGCAUACCAUCGGAUCUGCCCAGAUGGGAUUAGCUAGUAGGUGGGGUAACGGCUCACCUAGGCGACAAUCCCUACCUGGGCUGAGAGGGUGACAAGCCACACUGGAACUGAGACACGGUCCAGUCUCCUACGGGAGGCAGCAGUGGGGAAUAUUGCGCAAUGGGCGCAAGCCUGAUGCAGCCAUGCCGCGUGUAUGAAGAAGGUCUUCGGGUUGUAAAGUACUGUCAGCGAGGAGGCGUUACUCGCAGAAGAAGCAACGGCUAACUCCGUGCCAGCCGCCGCGGUAAUAG